AGACACUAAGGUAAGUCAUGUUAAACACCCCUAAAUAAAGGGCCAAACCAAAUGAAAAUUACCCCGAUGUCUUUGGUUGGGGCGACCGCGGGGAAAUACAAAACCCCCAUGUGGAACGGGAACACUUCCUCCUACAACUAAGAGCCCCCGCUCUAGUUAACAGAACUUCUGACCAACAAGAUCCGGCUAGCGCCGAUCAACGGACCGAGUUACCCUAGGGAUAACAGCGCAAUCCCCUUUUAGAGCCCAUAUCGACAAGGGGGUUUACGACCUCGAUGUUGGAUCAGGGCAUCCUAAUGGUGCAGCCGCUAUUAAG
rnacentral:rRNA from 1 species